rnacentral:rRNA from 1 species
CACAUGACUCUCGGCAACGGAUAUCUCGGCUCUCGCAUCGAUGAAGAACGUAGCAAAAUGCGAUACCUGGUGUGAAUUGCAGAAUCCCGUGAACCAUCGAGUUUUUGAACGCAAGUUGCGCCCGAGGCCUUUUGGUUGAGGGCACGUCUGCCUGGGCGUCACGY